rnacentral:snRNA from 1 species
GGGUUCAGCAGCACAUAUACUAAAAUUGGAACAAUACAGAGAAGAUUAGCUUGGCCCUCGUGCAAGGAUGACAUGCAAAACUACUUUUAU